GUGCCACCUCAGGUGUGUCACCUGCUCUGGGGGAGGUGACCGAGGUCACGGGAUGCCACCAGGUGCCACCAGCACCUCGGUGCCACCUCCUGUCCUGUGCCCAGGUGUGCCCAGGUGUGCCCAGGUGUGCCCAGGUGUGACCCCGGCCUGGGGGAGGUGACAGAGGCCACCACAGGUGCCACCAGGUGUCACCAACUCACGGAGGAACAAACGACACCACCUCCUGUCCUGUGCUGGCGCUGUGCCCAGGUGCCACCAGGUGUGCCCAGGUGUGCCCAGGUGCCACCAGGUGUGCCCAGGUGCCACCUCAGAUGUGCCACAGCUGGUCCCUGGGCAGGGGAGGUGACAAGUGCCACCAGGUGCCACCAACACAUGGAGAAAAAAGUAACACCACCACCUGUCCUGUCCCCUUGCUGUCUGCAGGUGUGCCCAGGUGCCACCAGGUGUGCCCAGGUGUCACCCAGGUGCCACCAGGUGUGACCCCAGUCUGGGAGAGGUGACAGGUGCCACCACAGGUGCCACCAACACACAGAGAAAAAAGUGAUACCACCACCUGUCCUGUCCUGGCACUGUCCACAGGUGUGUCCAGGUGUGUCCAGGUGUGCCCAGGUGCCGCCUCAGAUGUGCCACAGCUGGUCCCUGGGCAGGGCAGGUGACAGGUGCCACCACAGGUGCCACCAACACACAGAGAAAAAAGUGAUACCACCACCUGUCCUGUCCUGGCACUGUCCACAGGUGUGUCCAGGUGUGUCCAGGUGUGCCCAGGUGUGCCCAGGUGUCACCCAGUAGCCACCAGGUGCCACCAACACAUACAGAAACAAGUGACACCACCACCUGUCCUGUCCCGUUGCUGUCCCCAGGUGUGUCCAGGUGUGCCCAGGUGUGCCCAGCUGUGCCGGGCUCAGACGAACACCUUGGCCAGGGCGUCGGCGCCGGCGCUGGCGCUGAGGGCGCGCCGGGGGUGGAAGGCCACGGCCAGCACGGCCUCGGAGUGCUUGCGGCGGUGAGCGGGCAGCUCCUGCACACAGGUGCG